AUUGAACGCUGGCGGCAGGCCUAACACAUGCAAGUCGAGCGGAUGAAGGGAGCUUGCUCCUGGAUUCAGCGGCGGACGGGUGAGUAAUGCCUAGGAAUCUGCCUGGUAUUGGUGUAUAACGUCCGGAAACGGGCGCUAAUACCGCAUACGUCCUGAUGGAGAAAGUUGGGGAUCUUCGGACCUCACGCUAUCAGAUGAGCCUAGGUCGGAUUAGCUAGUUGGUGGGGUAAAGGCCUACCAAGGCGACGAUCCGUAACUGGUCUGAGAGGAUGAUCAGUCACACUGGAACUGAGACACGGACAAGGCGCCUAAGGGAGGCAGCAGUGGGGAAUAUUGGACAAUGGGCGAAAGCAUGAUCCAGCCAGGCCGAGUGUGUGAAGAAGGUCUUCGGAUUGUAAAGAACUUUAAGUUGGGAGGAAGGGCAGUAAGUUAAUACCUUGCUGUUGUGACGGUACCAACAGAAUAAGCACCGGCUAACUUCGUG
rnacentral:rRNA from 1 species